rnacentral:rRNA from 1 species
CAGCUAGUUGGUGGGGUAAUGGCCUACCAAGGCGACAAUCCGUAGCUGGUCUGAGAGGACGACCAGCCACACCGGAACUGAGACACGGUCCGGACUCCUACGGGAGGCAGCAGUGGGGAAUAUUGGACAAUGGGGGAAACCCUGAUCCAGCGACGCCGCGUGUGUGAAGAAGGCCUGCGGGUUGUAAAGCACUUUUAGUGGGGACAAAAAGCUACGGACUAACACUCUGUGGUCUUGAUUUAACCCAAAGAAAAAGCACCGGCUAACUCUGUGCCAGCAGCCGCGGUAAUACAGAGGGUGCGAGCGUUAAUCGGAAUUACUGGGCGUAAAGCGCGCGUACACGGUUUUGUAAGUCCGAUGUGAAAUCCCUGGGCU